rnacentral:rRNA from 1 species
GAUGAACGCUGGCGGCGUGCCUAAUACAUGCAAGUCGAGCGAACAGACGAGGAGCUUGCUCCUCUGAUGUUAGCGGCGGACGGGUGAGUAACACGUGGAUAACCUACCUAUAAGACUGGGAUAACUUCGGGAAACCGGAGCUAAUACCGGAUAACAUGUUGAACCGCAUGGUUCAACAGUGAAAGACGGUUUUGCUGUCACUUAUAGAUGGAUCCGCGCCGCAUUAGCUAGUUGGUAAGGUAACGGCUUACCAAGGCAACGAUGCGUAGCCGACCUGAGAGGGUGAUCGGCCACACUGGAACUGAGACACGGUCCAGACUCCUACGGGAGGCAGCAGUAGGGAAUCUUCCGCAAUGGGCGAAAGCCUGACGGAGCAACGCCGCGUGAGUGAAGAAGGUCUUCGGAUCGUAAAACUCUGUUAUUAGGGAAGAACAAAUGUGUAAGUAACUAUGCACGUCUUGACGGUACCUAAUCAGAAAGCCACGGCUAACUACGU